rnacentral:rRNA from 1 species
CCUACGGGAUGCAGCAGUGGGGAAUAUUGGACAAUGGGCGAAAGCCUGAUCCAGCCAUGCCGCGUGUGUGAAGAAGGCCUUCGGGUUGUAAAGCACUUUCAGUGGGGAAGAAAGCCUUGGGGCUAAUACCCUCGAGGAAGGACAUCACCCACAGAAGAAGCACCGGCUAACUCCGUGCCAGCAGCCGCGGUAAUACGGGGGGUGCGAGCGUUAAUCGGAAUUACUGGGCGUAAAGCGCGCGUAGGCGGUCUGAUAAGCCGGUUGUGAAAGCCCCGGGCUCAACCUGGGAACGGCAUCCGGAACUGUCAGGCUAGAGUGCAGGAGAGGAAGGUAGAAUUCCCGGUGUAGCGGUGAAAUGCGUAGAGAUCGGGAGGAAUACCAGUGGCGAAGGCGGCCUUCUGGACUGACACUGACGCUGAGGUGCGAAAGCGUGGGUAGCAAACAGGAUUAGAUACCCCAGUAGUC